AAUCUCAUGUUACUGAUAGUUAUAUAACAACAGAACAGGCCCAAUUCGAAAUGGCCAUGGUAAAAACAAAGAGGUUGUACAUCUUGGAAAAAAAGAACACAUCCAUAAAGUGAUACUACAUUCAGCCUCAUCCCAUAUUCAUGAAUCUGAUUACAAACGUUCAAGACUGUUAACACUCUCUUGCGUUACAAAAGGCUGAUGUGUUAGAGAAGAUAAGAUGCAGUGAUCUUCGACCUCGUCAUCAUUUUGUGUGUUCGCGACAUUUUCUUCCGGUCUACUAUACCUAAUCGAAAGGGUUGAAUUUGCUGGAACCUGCACAUGUUGAAAACAAUAAGUUGGUUAAAAGGCAAUUAAAUGAUUACACAAACCAUUAACUGAUAAGAGUAAUGUAGAGAUAGCAAGACCUUUUUUUGACCCUUUGAUUUUUUUGAACUCGCCUCCAACGGACUCUUUUUGCGCAAUUUUUUAGGCACCCUUUCUUUUCGUAAGCUUCGGGUCCAAAAUGUGCAGGCUUUCGUCAUUCCAAGCUUCAGGCACGUACGAACCCGAGUACCAACGUCUGAUUUAGAUAAUUGGUUUGUUUGGAAUUCAAUCCACCCCAAUAGAUGAUUAGACCGUUCUUCGUUUCGCGCCACCAAGUCUACCAUCUUUGUAAAAGCGUGACACAACCUCUCGUACCUUAAUUGUUCAGCUGUACAAACCAAACCAUCGAAUGUUGUUGGAACCCGCAUGUAUGGUCUACUAACAUCUCACCUCCAUCUCCGCAAGACAUACUUAUCCGGAAGCAAUUGUACAUCAUUCCAAAUUAAAAUCGAUAUUGAGUGUUUGCAAAUGAUGCCUCGAAACUCAAACAAAUGACAAUUGCAAUCAAUCUCACAACUGUCUCUACGGAAAUGAACUGUAAAUAUUCUUUUCUUCAUUCCUUCACUGAGAAUGAUAUCCUCACGUACUUCAUACUUCGUUAGCCCGAGAAAGUCCGUCAUAGAUAAGACUUCACAGUAUACCUUCCCCGUGAAUUCUUGUUGGAACUCUCUAAAUUUUGAUAAAGAAUACACAUCUUGAAAUUGUUUCUCCAUAUCAUACUUAGUGGCACAUGGAAUCAUUUGUGAAAAUGAUCUAAAAUCAGCUUGAAAUUCCUUCUCCACUUUACUUCGCAAUGCCCACUCAUAUUGCUCAACAAAAAGCUUUAAAGAAGUUUUCAAAUGCACAUAGCCGUAAAAAAAUGCAUUCAUGCUCUCACUCCUUUGUGUGGUUGACAUACCAGCCCAGAAUGUAGUGUUCAGGUAGCAUGGUACCCAACGACUUCUCUCUUUAUAGAGUCCACUCAACCAAUCAUGAUCUCGUAAUUCAAAAUGAUCAAGCAUAUUCAACCAUCCUUCCUCAAAUUCUUCACAGCUUAAUGUGUCGUAGACUAACACAUGUAUAGCAUGUAAUAUUGAGCCUUUGGCUUUGUGAUAGCCAAACUUUUUUGGCAACUUCUUUAGUAUAUACCAUAAGCACCAUCUAUGCUUCGUGUUAGGGAAGACAAUUUGAAUAGCAUUUUGCAUAGCUCGAUCUUGAUCUAUAAUUAUUCCAUUAGGAGCUUGAUCAUUCAUGCAUUCUAGUCAUGUCCGAAAUAACCAAACAAAUGUGUUAGUAUCUUCAUUUGAAACCAAACCAUAACCAAGAAGAGUUUACUGUCCAUGGUGAUUGACCCCACAAAAGGAGCAAAAGGCAUAUCAUACUUGUUAGUGAGGUAUGUGGUAUCAAACGUAACGACAUCUCCAAAUUCCUUAUACGCUUCACG
rnacentral:lncRNA from 1 species